UUGGGUUAAGUCCCGCAACGAGCGCAACCCUUAUCCCCAGUUGCCAUCAGGUAAAGCUGGGAACUCUGGGGAGACUGCCGGUGAUAACCGGAGGAAGGCGGGGAUGACGUCAAGUCCUCAUGGCCCUUACAUCCCGGGCUACACACGUGCUACAAUGGCAGGUACAGAGGGCUGCGAAGCCGCGAGGUGGAGCGAAUCCCAGAAAACCUGUCUCAGUCCGGAUUGAAGUCUGCAACUCGACUUCAUGAAGGCGGAAUCGCUAGUAACCGCGAAUCAGCAGGUCGCGGUGAAUACGUUCCCGGGCCUU
rnacentral:rRNA from 1 species